rnacentral:rRNA from 1 species
UACAGAGGGUGCGAGCGUUAAUCGGAAUUACUGGGCGUAAAGCGUGCGUAGACGGUCAUGUAAGUCGGAUGUGAAAGCCCCGGGCUCAACCUGGGAAUUGCAUUCGAGACUGCAUGGCUUGGGUGCGGAAGAGGGAAGCGGAAUUUCCGGUGUAGCGGUGAAAUGCGUAGAGAUCGGGAGGAAGGCCGGUGGCGAAGGCGGCGCUCUGGAACAUUUCUGACGCUGAGGCUCGAAAGCGUGGGGAGCAAACAGG